rnacentral:rRNA from 1 species
GGUAGAGCACUGGAACGGCUAGGGGUACUCACCAGAUUACCAAACCAUACCAAACUCCGAAUGUCGGUAACUGUUAACCUGGGACGCAGACGGUGGGUAGAUAACGUCCAUCGUCAAGAGGGGAAUAACCCAGACCAACAGCUAAGGUCCCUAAGUUCAGGCUAAGUGAACACUAGAAAGGAUGUGGCGGGUCAUUGACAACCAGGAAGUUGGCUUAGAAGCAGCCAUCUUUUAAAGAAAGCGUAAUAGCUCACUGGUCGAGACAAGCCGCGCCGAAAAUGUAACGGGGCUAAGCCUGGCACCGAAGCUUUGGGUCAUACUGAUUUUGAUCAGUAUGGCGGUAGGGGAGCGUUGAAACUGCUGCGAAGCACGAUGGUAAUGGCGUGUGGAGCGGUUUCGAGUGCUGAUGCCGAAAUGAGUAGCGAUAAGGGAAGUGAGAAUCUUCCCCCCCGUAAACCUAAGGUUUCCUGGGUCAAGUCAAUCUUCCCAGGGUUAGCCGGACCCUAAGUCGAGCCCGAAAGGGGUAGAUGAUGGAAAGCAGGUUAAUA